AUGAAAUCUGUCUGCCCCACUCCUAAUUCAUCCAGAUUUUCAGACUGAAUUUCCUAUUUCCAGCUAUGUUAGUAUGCUGUCGACUCUGUGGGAAAUGACCUCAGGUAACAAGUUUCAAAGAACAGGACUUGACCAGUGACAACGAUGGGAAUGGGAGGAGUAACUACAAUCGGAGAAAUUAUACCAGCCCAAUUUCCUUAAAUGUCUUAUAAGUCACUUGAAAAUGGCUUUGCCUUACCAGAAAAGUUUGCAUAUGUAUAUGCGUGGUUUGUAUAAAUGUGGAGUUUCUGGUUGAACUUGCUCUGAACUCAUGACUUACUUAAAUAGCCUUUUACUACUCCAUUGAUCUCACCUAUUUGAUUCCUCUAGUACCAACUCAGUAGGAAAAUCUCACCAGCAAAUCUUAAAAGGAAGCCCUUGAUCUUUGCCAUCUCAAACAUCUUCAUUUAGCUGACAUGUGCCUCUGUUCUUUCCAAAAGUUUCCUGUUCACAGUUAACCAAAGUCAAAGAACUAAACUUCACAAAAAGCAAAUGCAAUGUCUACCAAAAAGAUUCAAAAGAGUUGAAAUCUGAAUGCGCCUGAAGUUACGGUAUUUAGCACUCUGACAAUCAGACCUUGAAGGAUUUAAGGAUCAGUGACCGCUGCGUUCUGAUGUCACCUCCCUGAUCAGCUAAAGGGAGUCCAAAGAGGAACACAACAGUUCACAAGGUGGAAGGUGUCUAUUUUGUGGUCUGGAAGCAAAAAACAGUGUGUCCCAGGUUUCCAAGCACCUGCCCACUUACACUCAAGACAGCCAGGACCACUCUGUAGGAGGGGAGGCCGGGACACUGCAAUGAGCCCGGAUUGUCAGCUGUUCCCAGCCCCUUGCCUUAGUGACUUCAGGCAGCACAUCCCUGAUUCCAGGAGUCCAUCGGGUCCUGGCAUCUUGGGGACUGGCUGGACAAACGCUGGACUGCAAAUAAUCCGUGUUGCCAGUUGAGUUUCCACAAGUCACAGCAUAUUCUUUUAAUCUACAAACCUGGGUCCUAUUGUGUGAACCAAAAAUGCAAGUUUGAUUCAGUUCCAUGAUGCCAUUAAUAAAAAAAAAGAAAUCACAUUUCCUCUCUAGGGCUGUUCCUUACACUCCUGAUAAAGAACACAUGGCACCAAUCACUCUGCCCCACAAGGCUCCAAGCCACAGUGCUCCAAAGAAACACAGAACUGAGUAGGGGAAUGAAAGAUCUUAGCCUACUAAAAUAGAAACCGUUGUGCUAGAAAGCUGAAAUAUGGAAACCUGUGAAAUGACGUAUGAAGAAUCCGACACUAAUGCUCCUAAAAUGAACUGAGCAGGAAGGCUGUGGGCGGCCUCCUUGUGGACAGGCUCAAGAGCCACAGCAUUCCAGGGAAGCCCUCACCCCUCGGUCAAGGCAGAAGAAAGGACACUGCAUGAGGGGACGGUCAGAAUGGAAAGCCCACCGCACACCUGAGAGGAGAAAAUCCCCUGCCCCUACAGCUGAGGUUUGUGGAUAACAGCAACUACCCCCAUUCCCAGUUGCUCCUGAAAGGCUGCCUGAGCCGUGGCUCUUGCUGCCCUGGACAGAGACUUCCAGUGUCUCCAGAGCUCAGUGGGUUUCCAGAGUCCACCGUACACUUCCUGGAGCAGGAUCCUACCCUCCCUAGUUAAGUCUUGGAACUGGCUGACCACCUUGCUUCAUAAACCGGAAGCUUCCCGGGGAGAAUAUUGUUUCAUACAAACUGCCACAUUCCCAGCCCAUGUUUCUGAAGCUCUAGAUAGGGACACAUUUCAUCCAACAUUCCCUCACCCAGUGAUCCAUGGACACACUUGCCAAUAAGGAAGAAACUAGACUCCCUCUCUGGUGGAGGACAGGGUCAUUAACUCAGCUGAGAACUUAGUUUUUAUCACUAGUGCUAGGUAACGUGUUAAAGUUAUUGCAUUUUUAAGGAGAAUGACCUUCACUUACUCAAGUUGAAGCAAAUAUUGCUGCAAAAAAGCACUGACUGCAUUGCAGGGAUUUUGUUUGUGGUGUGUGUGUGGUGUGUGUGUGUGUGUGUGUGUGUGUCUUCCUUUCAGGAAAUACACUCUUAAAUACUUCCUCACUCUGGUCGUAUUGCCCUUUCCUUUGAAAUAACUUUUCAAAAACAAAGAAAACCUAUUUUUAUUACCUUUACAUUUCACUGCAUAAUGUUUGCUAUUAGUCUACAAUGAGAAGUUGGCACUUUUAUAAAACAAAAUGGACAUUCAAAAGAUUGCCAGUGCUAAUGCUUUGGAAAGGCUACACACAUUGGUGAAAUACUGGGCUGUUUAAAAUAUUUUACCAAAUUAUGAACAUUUGACGCACUAGUCUCUGAGACUGGGAGGAGAGCAAAACUAGGUUUCCUUUCCUAGCAGCCAUACUGGAUGCUCAUUAUAUUAUGAAAUAGUUUCUUUUAAAAUGAAUCAUUUGAACUUUAAAAUAUAGUUUUGAAAAUCAGUAAUGGUGUUAUGACAGAAUAGAAAGUCUUCUGUACAUACCACUAAAAAUCUAUUUCUCUUGUUUGAGUCCAGAUUUAAUGGGUUACCAUUUUAAAGGAUACUAGACACAAAGAUCUCUGUUUGAAUCAUUAUAUUGGGCUCCUCAUUUAAUUUUAAGUAAUUCAAAACAAUUCAAAAUGUUGCUUUAUUGCCCCACAAACAAGCAUUUUCAAACAAUGUUAUAGCAUAUGUAUACUGUCAAUAUCUUAAAAAUUAAUGUAUUUAUAAAUAUAUCGGAAAAAUAUGGUUAUGCAAUAAUGUACUUUUAAGAAAUGGUAUAUCAGACCAAGAUUACCUGAUGAUGCAUCAGAAGGCUUCAUAGCUUUUAUAUUUAGUAACAGAAAAAUUGUUUCAUUUUAUCAUUUAUUUUUCGUCAAAGUUUUUAUAAGCAUAUAUGAAUUAAGUAUUCAUUAGUUCAUUGAUAUGACCAUUGACCAUUUUUAAAAGUCUAAAUUGUAAUAUGUUAACUCCU
rnacentral:lncRNA from 10 species